GUGGGGAAUAUUGGGCAAUGGGCGAAAGCCUGACCCAGCAACGCCGCGUGAAGGAAGAAGGUCUUCGGAUCGUAAACUUCUAUCCUUGGUGAAGAUAAUGACGGUAGCCGAGAAGGAAGCCCCGGCUAACUACGUGCCAGCAGCCGCGGUAAUACGUAGGGGGCAAGUGUUGUCCGGAAUGAUUGGGCGUAAAGGGCGCGUAGGCGGCCUGGUAAGUCUGGAGUGAAAGUCCUGCUUUUAAGGUGGGAAUUGCUUUGGAUACUGUCGGGCUUGAGUGCAGGAGAGGUAAGUGGAAUUCCCGGUGUAGCGGUGAAAUGCGUAGAGAUCGGGAGGAACACCAGUGGCGAAGGCGACUUACUGGACUGUAACUGACGCUGAGGCGCGAAAGUGUGGGGAGCAAACAGGAUUAGAAACCCGAGUAGUCC
rnacentral:rRNA from 1 species